CACUCCUACGGGAGGCAGCAGUGGGGAAUUUUGGACAAUGGGCGAAAGCCUGAUCCAGCAAUGCCGCGUGAGUGAAGAAGGCCUUCGGGUUGUAAAGCUCUUUUGUCAGGGAAGAAACGGUGAGAGCUAAUAUCUUUUGCUAAUGACGGUACCUGAAGAAUAAGCACCGGCUAACUACGUGCCAGCAGCCGCGGUAAUACGUAGGGUGCAAGCGUUAAUCGGAAUUACUGGGCGUAAAGCGUGCGCAGGCGGUUUUGUAAGUCUGAUGUGAAAUCCCCGGGCUCAACCUGGGAAUUGCAUUGGAGACUGCAAGGCUAGAAUCUGGCAGAGGGGGGUAGAAUUCCACGUGUAGCAGUGAAAUGCGUAGAUAUGUGGAGGAACACCGAUGGCGAAGGCAGCCCCCUGGGUCAAGAUUGACGCUCAUGCACGAAAGCGUGGGGAGCAAACAGGAUUAGAUACCCUUGUAGUCC
rnacentral:rRNA from 1 species